GCGCGCGUGACGGAACCGGUAGACGUAGCGGACUUAAAAUCCGCCGCCGCGAGGCAUGGGAGUUCGAGUCUCCCCGCGCGCACCA
rnacentral:tRNA from 1 species